UGGCGGACGGGUGAGUAACGCGUGGAUAACCUGCCUCAUACAGGGGGAUAACAGUUGGAAACGGCUGUUAAUACCGCAUAAGCGCACGAAAUCGCAUGGUUUUGUGUGAAAAACUCCGGUGGUAUGAGAUGGGUCCGCGUCUGAUUAGCUAGUUGGCAGGGUAACGGCCUACCAAGGCGACGAUCAGUAGCCGGCCUGAGAGGGUGUACGGCCACAUUGGGACUGAGACACGGCCCAAACUCCUACGGAAGGCAGCAG
rnacentral:rRNA from 1 species